AUGAGCAGCCUGCACUUGGCCCCUCAUUAUCUUGUUCAGCCCUUGCCCCGGCAAAUGUUCGGUCUCAUCAGUGAUUUGCCAAAAGCUUGUUCAGACAAGGACCUACCCACACCAGGGCUCUUACACCAGGACACACGCAGAGGGAGGAUUAGACCCCUUGUUUAUGGAAAUAACAUGCUAAUCUGGUUCCUUUGGGAGGGAGAAGAAGUGGAGUGCAGACUAAAAGCUAGAGGACAGGAGAGAGAAAUCAGAAGAAAGUGGGGAGAUGGGACUUACCCUUCCAAACUUCAGACCACCUUACUGCUUAGGGAGUUUAACACCCACUCAGGGACGCCUUCAAAGGGACCAAAGCAGCAUGGUGCAAACUAG
rnacentral:lncRNA from 1 species